rnacentral:rRNA from 1 species
UACGUAGGUGGCGAGCGUUGUCCGGAAUUAUUGGGCGUAAAGAGCUCGUAGGCGGUCUGUCGCGUCGAUCGUGAAAACUUGGGGCUUAACCCUGAGCUUGCGGUCGAUACGGGCAUGACUGGAGUUCGGCAGGGGAGACUGGAAUUCCUGGUGUAGCGGUGAAAUGCGCAGAUAUCAGGAGGAACACCGGUGGCGAAGGCGGGUCUCUGGGCCGAUACUGACGCUGAGGAGCGAAAGCGUGGGGAGCGAACAGG